rnacentral:rRNA from 1 species
AUUGAACGCUGGCGGCAUGCUACACACAUGCAAGUCGAACGGUAACAGGCCUUCGGGUGCUGACGAGUGGCGAACGGGUGAGUAAUGCAUCGGAACGUACCCAGAGGUGGGGGAUAACGCAGCGAAAGCUGUGCUAAUACCGCAUGUGAUCUGAGGAUGAAAGCGGGGGACCGAGCAGCAAUGUUUGGCCUCGCGCCUUUGGAGCGGCCGAUGUCGGAUUAGCUAGUUGGUGGGGUAAAGGCCUACCAAGGCGACGAUCCGUAGCUGGUCUGAGAGGACGACCAGCCACACUGGGACUGAGACACGGCCCAGACUCCUACGGGAGGCAGCAGUGGGGAAUUUUGGACAAUGGGCGCAAGCCUGAUCCAGCAAUGCCGCGUGCGGGAAGAAGGCCUUCGGGUUGUAAACCGCUUUUGGCAGGAACGAAACGGUGUCCGCUAAUACCGGGCGCUAAUGACGGUACCUGCAGAAUAAGCACCGGCUAACUACGUG